GUCGCGGAAUCGAUUUCGCUGAUCUGCCGAAGCACGCUAUGAUCCGAUAGACAUGUGAGUCGAGAGUCUCGGGACUCGGCGGACGGCUCAGUACACGCGAUAAUCUGCCCUUGGGAGAGGGAUAAUCUCGGGAAACUGAGCAUAAUACCUCAUAGGUCUGAGUUGCUGGAACGCUCUCAGGCUGAAAGCUCCGGCGCCCAAGGAUGAGUCUGCGGCCUAUCAGCUUGUAGUUGGUGUAAAUGACCAACUAGGCGACGACGGGUACGGGCAUUGGGAGAUGUAGCCCGGAGAUGGACUCUGAGACACGAGUCCAGGGCCUACGGGGCGCAGCAGUCGCGAAAACUUCACAAUGUGGGAAACCGCGAUGAGGGGAUUCCAAGUGCUUGCGUUUCGCGUAAGCUGUUCUCCUGCCUAAAAAGCAGGAGAAGUAAGGGCUGGGUAAGACGGGUGCCAGCCGCCGCGGUAAUACCCGCAGCCCGAGUGGUGGUCGAUUUUAUUGAGCUUAAAGCGUCCGUAGCCGGUCUGGUAAAUUCUUGGGUAAAUCGUGCAGCUUAACUGUUCGAAUUCCGAGGAGACUGCCAGACUUGGGACCGGGAGAGGUUGGAGGUACUCCUUGGGUAGGGGUAAAAUCCUGUAAUCCUGGGAGGACCACCAGUGGCGAAGGCGUCCAACUGGAACGGAUCCGACGGUCAGGGACGAAGCCCUGGGUCGCGAACUGGAUUAGAUACCCAGGUAGUCCAGGGUGUAAACGCUGCAGACUUGGUGUCGGGGGUCCUACGAGGGCGUCCGGUGCCGGAGAGAAAUUGUUAAGUCUGCCGCUUGGGGAGUACGUCCGCAAGGAUGAAACUUAAAGGAGUUGGCGGGAGAGCACCGCAACGGGAGGAGCGUGCGGUUCAAUUGGAUUCAACGCCGGAA
rnacentral:rRNA from 1 species